GUCCCACAUCUCUGUGUUGAGGAUCUUUGGGUCCUGAAGGAGUGACUUUGUGUCUAGUGGACGGUUACGUAGUGAGACUCAGAUGAGGAGGAUCACACUGUGAGGGAACAUCAGACACCACAUUUAGUCCAUGUGGGGAGUUUCUCUGGACAUGAUCCAGGACACAGGUGUGUUCAGGACCCCAGAGACUGGAGAAAGUCUCUGGGGUCCUCCCAAAAGUAACCAUGGUUACUUUUGGGAGGAGUGGAUAGAUCAGUUGUCUGCCUGGGUGGUUGCCAUGCAGGACCUAAGGUGGUUCCGUGGUGUAGUGGAUGAUCCC